rnacentral:rRNA from 1 species
AGCGAACGCUGGCGGCAUGCUUAACACAUGCAAGUCGCGCGGGUGGUUUCGGCCAUCAGCGGCGGACGGGUGAGUAUCGCGUAGGAAUGUAUCCCGAGGUGGGGGACAACCCUGGGGAACUGGGGCUAAUACCGCAUGGGGCCUGUGGGUCAAAGCCUUCGGGCGACUUGGGAGCAGCGUGCGUCCGAUUAGGUAGUUGGUGGGGUAAAGGCCUACCAAGGCUGCGAUCGGUAGCUGGUCUGCGAGGACGAGCAGCCACACUGGGGCUGGGACACGGCCCGGACUCCUACGGGAGGGAGCAGAGGGGGAUAUUGGACAAUGGGCGCAGGCCUGAACCAGCAAUGCCGCGUGGGUGAAGAAGGUCGUCGGAUUGUAAAGCCCUUUAGGCGGGGACGAUGAUGACGGUACCCGCAGAAGAAGCCCCGGCUAACUUCGUG